rnacentral:tRNA from 1 species
UUAAUUGAAACCAAAUAGAGGUAUAUUACUGUUAAUGAUAUCAUUGAAAAUUAAUUUCCAAUUAAA